rnacentral:lncRNA from 1 species
CAUGGAGUCAAUCAGUUGUCUCGACUCUCGAGAAUGCAUUUAGAAGUCGCAUUUUAACGAGCGGUUUUUGGCGUGUUUUGUUCCACUGCACCCGAAACGUACGGACCAUUGUCGUGAACCGUUGUUUUCGGUUCACAUUUUCGGUCAUUGGCACCAUCAUUCGUUUUUCUCCACAAUUUCCCGCAAAUAGAGAGGCUCGAAAACCCUUAAACCCUAAAUUUCCAACCAUUCACUCUAACACUUCAGUAUCAGUACGAUGAAUGAUUCAUAACAUAAAUUUUCCCUAAUAUCAAUUCAUCGAUAAUCGAAGUUCCCUAUUUACUCAGGCGCCUGUAUUACAGUUUGGGUGAACUGUGGGCUGUGAUUUUUAUUAUUUUUUAAUUUUUUUUUCUGGUUUAAAAAUGGCGAGGCUUCUUCGAAAUGCGUCUUCUCUGAGGUGCUCUUUGUUUCCACAGUUACAGGUCUUUCUCUUCUUAUAGCUUUCUAUUUGUUUUGUUUUCUCUGUUCCUGUCAGUUUCUCUUCAUUUUGAAAAAAGUAAAGAAAAUGGAAUUUUUAAAAGAUUUUUUUCAUUAACAUUUAAAACACCAUUAUAUGUUAAAUGUACUCGCUUUAUAAAUAUAUAGCCGGGUUUUUCUUUUUAUAUGGACUUCAUAAGUCAAAAAUAGGAAUUUGAAUCCAAGAAUCACCCCCCCUUCAAUUCCGUUAAUUUUUUAUGUGUUUUAAGUUUGUAAUGGAUGGAUAUUUGUUAAGCCGGAAGUUUUUAUGUGGUUUAAAUAUUUGGUUUUUAUGUUUCCAGGAAUCUAGGCACGGUAUAUCAAAACCAACCACUCAACUAUGCUACUUUGCGACCAAAGGUGCAGAA